GGAAGUAUAGCUCAGUUGGGAGAGCAUCUGCCUUACAAGCAGGGGGUCACAGGUUCGAGCCCUGUUGCUUCCACCA
rnacentral:tRNA from 1 species